CCUACGGGAGGCAGCAGUAGGGAAUAUUGCUCAAUGGGGGAAACCCUGAUGCAGCAACGCCGCGUGGAUGAUGAAGGUUUUCGGAUUGUAAACUCCUGUUGUUGGAGAAGAUGAUGACGGUAUCUAACGAAUAAGCACCCGCUAACUCCGUGCCAGCAGCCGCGGUAAUACGGAGGGUGCAAGCGUUACUCGGAAUCACUGGGCGGAAAGGGCGCGUAGGCGGGAGAGCAAGCCAGAUGUGAAAUCCUACGGCUUAACCAUAGAACUGCAUUUGAAACUGUUAUUCUGGAGUAUGGGAGAGGUAGGUGGAAUUCUUGGUGUAGGGGUAAAAUCCGUAGAGAUCAAGAGGAAUACUGAUUGCGAAGGCGACCUGCUAGAACAUAACUGACGCUGAUGCGCGAAAGCGUGGGGAGCAAACAGGAUUAGAUACCCCAGUAGUC
rnacentral:rRNA from 1 species